GGACUCUUGUGCUAUUCCUGAAAACACUAGGACCAAUGAGAGGAAGCCAGAAGAAGUCACCUGAUACCUGGAUGCCUGGCACCUGGAUACGAGAAGCACCUUCUAAUGGCCAAAGAGUUCACCGCUGGGAAGGGUGACACCAGCUGGGGUCUUCUCAGCCAUGAAAAGAAGUGACAGCAGUCACUGCAUGGGGUUGCUGUGAGGACUAAGUGAGAGUGUGGAGCUGAAAUCCUCUGACAAACUGUGCAGUGCUCUUCAGAUGUCGGGACCUUUGUUGCAGCCCUCACCUACUCUCCACCUCGGCUGUGCUUUGGAAACCUGCCCAGGCACCAGCUAUGUCGACUCCCGCUGCCAUUCAGGCCCAUAAGGAUAUCCCAGAAAAUAAUUUUGCCACCUCUCUAUGUUAACAGCUCGAAAUCUCCAGACACUUCUGAUUACCAGGAUUUUGAGUACAUGACGGUUUUCUUCCUCAAAAUUCUUAAAUAGCAAAAAGGCUUGAAUGACAGUCAGGACUGGCAGAAGUUGGACUGUCAUUGUGAACCAAGGAAGGAGGCUGCAAAAGGAAAUGGGAAGAAAGUGGAUAUGCUGAUAGCCAGGCUGGUGCUCUUCCAGGUAAGUCUACCUGCCCUGGCCCCAGGCGGCCCUGUCCUGGGCUUGGCUGGUCCUGCAGGUUCCCAGGAUACAGCAGAACUAGUGGAUGGCCUGGAAAGCAAGUAUUUAGGCAGAUCGUAUCUUCUGCCUGGAGAGAAUGUGAAUACUGUGGAAAGAGCCAGGCCAUGAAUUCUGCAGAGCCCAGCUCCAGUUCCUAUUCUGUCCCCUUACUAACAGGGUACAUUGAGCAAGUCUCCUAAUCCAUUAGACCCUCAGUUCUUCAUUGCUAAAUAGAAAUCAUUUUGAUGAGAAUCAAAAUCAAAUGUGACCAUUUAUGAAAAUUGUAUGCAUAGUACCUGUGAUCAAUAAAUGGCAAUUGAAACUAAUUCUAAAUCUAUUUCUCCAGACUAGUAUUUCAUGCUGCUAGGAAACAAGCAAAGACAAGUGAUUUAGAAAACUAAGGUGCUGGGGUAGAUAUUUUUUCUUUAAUACCUCUCAAUCAGGACAAAACAAUUUCCACCAGUUGGGCUGAAAAACUUGCCAUGGGAGCAAGGAUUCUGG
rnacentral:lncRNA from 1 species